rnacentral:lncRNA from 1 species
GGCCUUUGCAGACAGCUCUGCGCCUUGACUUUGGUGCCAGCAUUGUAGAGCUGCAGUUCCAAGGCCCUCGCAAACAGAGACUGAUCCCAUCAGAAUGAAGAGAAGUUGAUGGCAUCUGCUGAGCUUCAUAGAGAAGGGCUUUGCAUGUGAAUUUGGAACCAUCUUCAGAAUCAGGUUGCCGUGCAGUCUGUCAAUGUAUUGUAACUGAGACCUGCAAGAGCUCUUCUCACACCUGGAAACAUCAUGGUGACAUUGUGUCUGCCACCAGCUCCAGCCCCAGGAAAGUAGCAUGUGAGGACAGGUGUGGCUGGUUAUCUUCCCAAUGCCUGGUUAAGGCAUAAUAAAAAUCAGAUGCUGUUGGUGUGGAACAGGG